rnacentral:rRNA from 1 species
ACGCUCGACACCUACGGGGGCAGCAGUGGGGAAUAUUGCACAAUGGGGGAAACCCUGAUGCAGCGACGCCGCGUGGAGGAAGAAGGUCUUCGGAUUGUAAACUCCUGUUGUUGGGGAAAAAGAGGAUGGUACCCAACAAGGAAGUGACGGCUAACUACGUGCCGNNCGCGAGUACUNGNGGCGUGNGAGAG